rnacentral:rRNA from 1 species
UGCCCCUCGGGCUAGUUACAGCAUGUCGUGGGGACGAUAACGGCGUCGAGCGGCGGACGGGUGAGUAAUGCCUAGGAAAUUGCCCUGAUGUGGGGGAUAACCAUUGGAAACGAUGGCUAAUACCGCAUAAUACCUACGGGUCAAAGAGGGGGACCUUCGGGCCUCUCGCGUCAGGAUAUGCCUAGGUGGGAUAGCUAGUUGGUGAGGUAAUGGCUCACCAAGGCGACGAUCCCUAGCUGGUCUGAGAGGAUGAUCAGCCACACUGGAACUGAGACACGGUCCAGACUCCUACGGGAGGCAGCAGUGGGGAAUAUUGCACAAUGGGCGCAAGCCUGAUGCAGCCAUGCCGCGUGUGUGAAGAAGGCCUUCGGGUUGUAAAGCACUUUCAGUCGUGAGGAAGGUAGUGUAGUUAAUAGCUGCAUUAUUUGACGUUAGCGACAGAAGAAGCACCGGCUAACUCCGUGCCAGCAGCCGCGGUAAUACGGAGGGUGCGAGCGUUAAUCGGAAUUACUGGGCGUAAAGCGCAUGCAGGUGGUUUGUUAAGUCAGAUGUGAAAGCCCGGGGCUCAACCUCGGAAUAGCAUUUGAAACUGGCAGACUAGAGUACUGUAGAGGGGGGUAGAAUUUCAGGUGUAGCGGUGAAAUGCGUAGAGAUCUGAAGGAAUACCGGUGGCGAAGGCGGCCCCCUGGACAGAUACUGACACUCAGAUGCGAAAGCGUGGGGAGCAAACAGGAUUAGAUACCCUGGUAGUCCACGCCGUAAACGAUGUCUACUUGGAGGUUGUGGCCUUGAGCCGUGGCUUUCGGAGCUAACGCGUUAAGUAGACCGCCUGGGGAGUACGGUCGCAAGAUUAAAACUCAAAUGAAUUGACGGGGGCCCGCACAAGCGGUGGAGCAUGUGGUUUAAUUCGAUGCAACGCGAAGAACCUUACCUACUCUUGACAUCCAGAGAACUUUCCAGAGAUGGAUUGGUGCCUUCGGGAACUCUGAGACAGGUGCUGCAUGGCUGUCGUCAGCUCGUGUUGUGAAAUGUUGGGUUAAGUCCCGCAACGAGCGCAACCCUUAUCCUUGUUUGCCAGCACUUCGGGUGGGAACUCCAGGGAGACUGCCGGUGAUAAACCGGAGGAAAGGUGGGGACGACGUCAAGUCAUCAUGGCCCUUACGAGUAGGGCUACCACCGUGCUACAAUGGGCGCAAACGGAGGGCGGCCACUUGCGGAGAUGAGCGAAUCCCAAAAGGUGGGGCAAAGAGC